rnacentral:rRNA from 1 species
AGGGCACCACCAGGAGUGGAGCCUGCGGCUUAAUUUGGCUCAACUCGGGGAAACUCACCCGGCCCGGACACCGGAAGGAUUGACAGAUUGAUAGCUCUUUCUUGAUUCGGUGGAUGGUGGUGCAUGGCCGUUCUUAGUUGGUGGAGCGAUCUGUCUGGUUAAUUCCGAUAACGAACGAGACUCUAGCCUAUUAAAUAGACGUCGGGUUCUCUGCACUCGACGGUCUUCUUAGAGGGACAAGGUGCUUUUAGCACCGCGAAACAGAGCAAUAACAGGUCUGUGACGCCCUUAGAUGUCCGGGGCCGCACGCGCGCUACACUGAAGGAAGCAGCGUGUAACAACCUUGUUCUAACGAACUGGGUAACCCGUGGAACUUCCUUCAUGAUUGGGAUAGGGGUUUGCAAUUUUGCCCCUUGAACGAGGAAUUCCCAGUAAACACUAGUCAUCAGCUAGUGCUGAUUACGUCCCUGCCCUUUGUACACACCGCCCGUCGCUACUACCGAUUGAAUGGUUUAGUGA